GAUCCUGGCUCAGGAUGAACGCUAGCUACAGGCUUAACACAUGCAAGUCGAGGGGCAGCAUGGUCUUAGCUUGCUAAGGCCGAUGGCGACCGGCGCACGGGUGAGUAACACGUAUCCAACCUGCCGUCUACUCUUGGACAGCCUUCUGAAAGAAAGAUUAAUACCGGAUAGUAUCGAGAGAUUGCAUGAUUACCCGAUUAAAGAUUCAUCGGUAACGGAUGGGGAUGCGUU
rnacentral:rRNA from 1 species